ensembl:lncRNA
GAAACCAAAUAGCUAUAGUGAUGCCUUGGAAUUGAUUUUGUCUUUGUUUUGGAGUUGAUUUUCUCCCUGCCUCCCAACCCUUCCCCACCUCAUGGCUUUCCCAUCUAGGAAUCUUGUCUCAGCUUGCCUGUUCUUAAUGUGAUUUAAAAGACCAGAAAAAAAGAAAUCCUAGGUCUAUGUUGUUUUCUUGGUUUUGUUUUUGUUCUUUGCAAGGUGCCCUAUUUUUUACACAUUCUAUUUGGUUUGCAGCAUGAGGGUGCUUUGCAGGAGGCAAGAGCCAUGCCUAUUUUGGUUACUCAGGCUGAGAAGCUCUGUAGUCCUUAAUGCUCAGUACUGGAGGAACUACUGGCCCUUUGCAUUUCACACUGCUUGGUCUGCCAUGACAGGAAAGUCUGUGGUGUCCAGUUAUCCAAUGAUCCAUCAACAGUGAUCCACGUAGAGGAAAGAAUGCAACAGCAGAAAUGAUACUUGCAAAGAGUGAAGAUGUACAGAGAAACUGUGCAGGAAUCACAUGAUUACUGGAGAAAAACAAGUCCACACUAGUCCAUUAAAAACAGAAAGCUUCUUUUAUGGGAAAAUGCAUACUAGAAAUAGGAAAAAAAAAAAAAAAAAAAGGAUUAAAAAAAUAAAGUGCAUUAAAAAGAUAUUAUAUUGUAUCUACAAGAGUUUUCCUCUUAUAUUCAUCUUGCCUCUUCAGGGACUGUUUCUGGUUCUGUUUGUUUGAGAAAACCACCACAAGAGUGAAAAGAGCAGCCCUGGUUAGCCUUCCUGUGCACCUAUGUCUGCCUGGGCUGGCUGUAACAUUAGAGACAUCCCUCUUCCUAUUGUUGCUUUAUAAUAAACAGUUAGGUCCCGCCACCCAGAAGUUUUAGAAACCUGAAACUUUAGCCAAGGCAGAAAAUGAGCUACUGCUUUUGCUGAGUGCAGCCAGGGAUGUCAAUUUAAAAUGUGGGCUAACUCACAUUCUCUCCUAAAUACCACUGGGGAUUUGGUCCAGGUAUGUCGAUUGCACAGCACCUUGAAAUUGUCACCAGAAUAGCAACUGCUCAGGGUGUGGGGAUGUUUGGAGAUUGAGGUGGGAAACUGCAGAAACUGAUGGGAGCAGUGGGCUGGCUGAGUAACUGUUCAGACGAAGUCGUGGCUCCAUGUGUAGUGGUGCUACCUCAACACCACAAAGUCUGGUUUUGCCAAUACAGUUUUAAAGUUACUACCCAUUGGCAUACAUCCAGCUCUGGUUGCAAGGUUGACAAAACUGCCAAGUGGAGAAAUGGGCCAGUUUUUUUCUGUCUUUCAUGAUAUGCCACAGAACUACAAAUUCUAUAGGAAAGGAGUGCAUAAAAACAUUACUUUGUUCUCAGUCCUCUCACUCUUCAUCUGGUGCUAUAAAACACAAAAUGGCUCUUUAAAAGUGAUAGCUGUUUAGCUCUUUUCCUUGCUUCCAGCAGGCUGCUCUUCCCUUUUCUGGGCCUCAAAUACUGUUGUUUUUUUUUCCCCCUUGUCUUACUGAAGAACGUAUAUUUUGCAUUGGAGUACAACAAAUGCUUAAAAAAAAAAAAAAAAAAAAAAAUUGAAGUUUUUGCUGUCCACAAAUGACAGAUCGUUAAUAAUCCAUAACACACAGGCUGUAUAUCUGCUGUUACUGCUCUGAGGUCAACUGGCCCUGGUAAAGCAGGAAAUAAAGGGAAAGCUUCAGUGAACAAGAACAAAAGGCUUCUAUAAGCCAGUAAAGUCGAAGCGAACUCCAAGCCACUAUUCCCAAGAAAUGCAAAAUUUGGCUCCAUUUAUAUUUCUCUUUCAAUGAGCACAUUCAUCACUUUGGAAAAAAGCCAGCAUACAGGGGUGUUCCUUACAAUACAUCCCUCAAGCAGCGAGUCUUCCUCAUCAGCAUCCUGACAGUCUGUGACUGCUACAGCUCUUUCUCCUCCAUAGGUAAAUCACAAAACUACAGCAUGAGCUGAGGCUGGCAGGGUCCUCUGUAUCUGUCUGCUCCAACCUCUUUACAGGUAGGGCCACCCAGAGCAGGCAGCUUCUGAAGAUCUCCAAGGAGGAGACCCAUAGCCUGUACAGGAAAUAUGUACCAGCACUCCAUGCAGCACUUCAUGGUGUUCAGAGGGAACCUCCUGUACUUCAAUUUCAUAGAAUGAUAGAAUGGCUUUGGUUGAAAGGGACCAUAAAACCCAUUUAGUUCCAAAUGCCCAGCAUUUCUUGGGAGGGGUUGAUAUCCACUAGUUCAGGCUGCCUCAGGCCCCAUCCAACCUGGCCUUGAACACCUCCAGGGAUGAGGCAUCCACAACUUCUCUGCACAGCCUGUUUCAGCACUUCACCACAGUUUGAGUGAAGAAUUUCCUCCCAGUAUCUAAAUCUCCCCAUUUUACUUUAAAGCCAUUCCCCUUGCCCUAUUGCUAUCAGCCUCCAUCAUUCUCCCUCCUGUUCAUAAGCUCCCUUUAAGUACUGGAAGGCUGCCAUCAGGUCUCCCUGGAGCUUUCUCUUUUCCAGA